AGAGUUUGAUCCUGGCUCAGGAUGAACGCUGGCGGCGUGCCUAACACAUGCAAGUCGAACGGGCGCGGCGUGCGGCAGGGGCCUCGGCCCCUGCGGCGCCGCGCGAGUGGCGGACGGGUGAGUAACGCGUGGGCAACCUGCCCUGUACUGGGGGAUAACACCUGGAAACAGGUGCUAAUACCGCAUAAGCGCGGCGUGCCGCAUGGCAUGGCGCGGAAAACCCCGGUGGUACAGGAUGGGCCCGCGUCUGAUUAGCUGGUUGGCAGGGUAACGGCCUACCAAGGCGACGAUCAGUAGCCGGCCUGAGAGGGUGGACGGCCACACUGGGACUGAGGCACGGCCCAGACUCCUACGGGAGGCAGCAGUGGGGGAUAUUGCACAAUGGGGGGAACCCUGAUGCAGCGACGCCGCGUGGGUGAAGGAGCGUUUCGGCGCGUAAAGCCCUAUCGGCAGGGAAGAAGAUGACGGUACCUGACCAAGAAGCCCCGGCUAACUACGUG
rnacentral:rRNA from 1 species